GAUGAACGUUGGCGGUGUGCCUAAUACAUGCAAGUCGAACGGAGUUAAUAGCAAUAUUGACUUAGUGGCGAACGGGUGAGUAACGCGUUGGUGAUCUGCCUCAAAGUGUGGAAUAACGUCCCGAAAGGAACGCUAAUACCGCAUGUGCUCUCGAUUUUUAGAAAGUUGAGAGUAAAGGAUUUAUUCGCUUUGAGAGGAGCCUGCGUCCCAUCAGCUAGUUGGUAGGGUAAUAGCCUACCAAGGCUUUGACGGGUAGGGGACCUGAGAGGGUGGCCCCCCACAAUGGAACUGAAACACGGUCCAUACACCUACGGGUGGCAGCAGUAGGGAAUAUUAGAAAUGGACGAAAGUCUGAUCUAGCGACACCGCGUGUGCGAUGAAGGCCUUGGGUUGUAAAGCACUUUUGGAAGGAAUAGGAAGGAAGGUACUUCCAGAAUAAGUCUCGGCUAACUACGUGCCAGCAGCCGCGGUAAAACGUAGCUG
rnacentral:rRNA from 1 species